rnacentral:lncRNA from 1 species
AUUGGCAAGACUGCUCUUUUCAGGCUAUGGUUCCCCGUCAGGCUGAUGUGAAAUAUGCAGUCAUAGGAGAGACCUCUCCUCAUAGGAGAAACCAAUUUAUUCUCUACUCCUUGGCUUUCUCAAACCAUCAUGUUAUUCCCGUGCUUAAAAUUGUUUACUGCUUUCAAGAAAAAGGUCAACAUGAUUAACACGGCCUGUGAGCAGUGUGAUCAUAUAAUUAUCCAACUGGGGACACUUUUGAGAGCUAAAGGGAGUGCUAUUAAUAGGAGCAUCAUAACUAUGAGACUUUGCUGGUUCUGGCCCCUACGUUGCCUAGCUCCACGUUCUCCUCCACUCGUCUUGCUUGGGGGCCAUGCUUCUUCCUGCUGCAGGGCCUUUGCACAUGCUGAUCUCUCUGACUGGAACACCCCGCUGCCCCAAGUACCCCCAACUCUGCCUAGCUAAUGCUUCCCCAUCCUUCAUUCUGAGCUCAACAUCACUACUUAAGGAAGCCUCCUUAGUUCCCUGGGUGAGGCUGAUAUGCUCUCAAAGCAGCAUGUACCUUUUCUUUGUAGCACUUCCCAUUUUGUAACUCUACCUUUUUGCUUUAUUUGGGUCAUUUUUGGAUUCAGGUUUGUCUCCCUGACUGGCUGUAGGCUCCCCCAGGGCAGGGACUGUAUCUGUGGUUCCAAUGUUUAUGUGCUUGGCACACAGUCAAGGUCCCCAAAAUAUUUAUUAAAUAAAUAAGUGAAUGAAUUCUAACCAUCUUGACUUCUUAAAAUGAAGCAUCCUUUCCACUGGUUAGAGUUGAAGAGACCAGGGUUCAUAUAACACGCCCUUGGUCACAGUGGUAAAACUGAUAUUCAGCGCCAGGUCUGUUGACUGAGAGCCCAUGCACUUUCCACUAUACCGACUGCCUUUCUCUGCAGCCUGCAGAAACCACAGGCAAAAGGACUUAAAGAAAACGCUCUGAUCUGUGGACUUCCCUUAUUGCUGCAUCUCUGAUAACAUGCCCCAAUUCUUGACACUACCAAGGGAAAUGAGAAAUCUGAGUAUUUUAGAUUGGAACCAAACUUAGAGAAAUUGUCUGGAAAUCAUGGUGCCUGUUGCCUCCGAAUCACCAAGCAUCAGAGCGAGGCCUCCCACUUAAAGGGGAGCUGGAUAGAGACGAGCAAUCAGCCACUAUGUCUGGAUCCGGAAAUCGCUGCUUGUGCAUUGAAAGUGGAUGGCAGUCGUGCACACACACCGUAGAUAAUCCUGAAACUCUACUACUGAGGUUGCUGCUGGGAUUCCCAGUAUUCUCUCCACAUCCUUGAAUGGAGCGAGAGGGAGCAGGAAAAAAGUGGUCUUUGUUGUGAAGCCACAGUCCCAAACUUCAACCUAGAGGAAUGUCAAGUCCUGAAAAAAGCUACGGAGAAGGCUUGCAAUUAUGUCCUUAGUCACAACAAGAGGGUAAGAACGUUCAAGGCACUGGAUUGAGAGACACAAAAGUCAGGAAGUGACCCUUUCGUCGGGAUUUCAGAGGCCGCGGAGUAGAAACAAAGUCCUCUCUCAGCUUGGGGCACUUCGGGCGAUACCAUCCCGAGGGGCAGCGUGGGGGAGGCGGGCGAGCGCCGCGGAAACUGACAUCUGCGUGCUCACCGAGCCGCGAGUAAACUGAGGAUGGCCACGCUGAGAAGACUCGGUGGCCGCGGCUCCCCCGCCCAGAAAUGAAACGGGUUUCGGCCGAUCGUCCCUGUGGAGCCCGCUGAAAAAGAAGCCGGGUCGCCCUGGCCAGAGCCGGCCUCCUGAAUCGCGCCCUGUGCGCGCCGGACCGGGCCGCGCGCCCGAGGCUGCAGGAUGGCGUGCCGGGGCCAGCCCAUCUGCGGCCGCGAGGAAGCCGGCCCGGGAUGAAUGGGGCUUUGUUCGCCGGCCGCCGCGGCUGCCCUCGGCAGGCCCGAUCCGCACAACGGAGGCUGUAUGCGAGAGGAAUGGAAAUGAGCCUCCGGCUCUCCCGAAGGAGCCCCAUCCCCUUCCCUUCGCCGUGCGCAGGAAUGCUGGCAAGCCGGAAAGGAACCCUCGCCGGGAACGCCGCUCUCGCGGCUCUGAAACCCCAUUGAGAAGAGCCCUUUGAUGCAAUUAAAGCGCGUUUCAUUGCAGGCCGGGGAGGAGGGAAGGCCCGUCAAGCUUUUUUUCUGUCUCUGGAGCAUGUGUGUGCACCUUUGUAGGGUGGGUUACUUAGAGAGCAGGCGGCAACUUGAGCUCCCUCUCUCUCGCAGACGUUCUGUAACAUCAUAAAAGCGUACCCAUAAACAGAUUGGUUUUCACCGUGGGUGGAACCCAAUUUGGACACGAUCCAGGCUGACCUGCAGGCUAGAGUGCCUGUUUUGAAAGCCUCCUUGGUACGCCUUACACUACCUUGCCUGCUUUAAAGGUUUAGGAGGACGAGAAAUUGCAUUUGGAGGAGGAAGUUGUUUCUGAGGUCGCUGAUCAUUUUCCAUUUUCUCAGCGGGAAUGGGCCACGUCGCAGGUCCAGAAAUGGUCAGAGCCAGACCUCUAAAAUGAUGGAGGCUGCAAAUGUUGAAGGACUACGGUGCGACAGCUAUUUUGAUAAUCAGAUUCUUCUGUAAGAUUUCCUUAAUUCCUCCAUUGAGACAACUGUGUGGCCCCAGAAAACCCACAUGGCCUCUCUGAGCUUAAUAUUUUUCAUCCGUUGAAAUGAAUCUCAUAAGGCUAGAGAACAGACGUAAAGCUCUGGGUGCUUGUGAAUUCUUUCU